CAAUAGCGUAUAUUAAAGUUGUUGCAGUUAAAAAGCUCGUAGUUGGAUUUCUGUGAGAGUGCCGGUGUCGGCUGAUGCUUGUACGCAGGCGCUCUUACAUCCUUCUGUUAACUGUUCUUGGCAUUUUAUUGCUGGUUCAGGGCUCAGAUAUUUUACCUUGAGAAAAUUAGAGUGUUUCAGGCAGGCUUAUGCCGGAAUACAUUAGCAUGGAAUAAUGGAACAGGACCUGUGCGUCUCUCGGGGCGCCGGUCUCCGUUAUUGGUUUCGGGGACUAAUGUAAUGAUUAAUAGGGAUAGUUGGGGGCAUUAGUAUUUAAUAGUCAGAGGUGAAAUUCUCGGAUUUGUUAAAGACUAACUUAUGCGAAAGCAUUUGCCAAGGAUGUUUNCAUUA
rnacentral:rRNA from 1 species